rnacentral:tRNA from 1 species
AGCGGUCAAAGGGAGCUGACUGUAAAUCAUAGAGCGUACGACUCAUAAUCGUAAGGUCAAGAGUUCGAGCCUCUUCCUCGCUA